UACAGGGUGAGUCAAAAAAACUGACACCUUUGUUAUUCAUUUGAAUAACAAUGGUGUCAGUUUUUUUUUACUCACCCUGUA
rnacentral:miRNA from 1 species